GCGUAGCUCAGUUGUAGGGCACCUGUUUUGCAUGUGGAAGGUCCCAGGUUCAAGCCCUGGCAUCUCCA